rnacentral:rRNA from 1 species
UACGUAGGCAGCGAGCGUUGUUCGGAAUUACUGGGCGUAAAGAGUGUGUAGGCGGUGCUCUAAGUUCGGUGUGAAAUCUCCUGCUUAACUGGGAGGGUGCGCCGGAAACUGGGGUGCUCAAGCGUGGGAGAGGAAAGCGGAAUUCCUGGUGUAGCGGUGGAAUGCGUAGAGAUCCGGAAGAACACCGGUGGCGAAGGCGGCCUGCUGGGCAGUGAGCUGAC